rnacentral:rRNA from 1 species
UACGAAGGGGGCUAGCGUUGCUCGGAAUCACUGGGCGUAAAGCGCACGUAGGCGGGUCGUUAAGUCAGGGGUGAAAUCCUGGAGCUCAACUCCAGAACUGCCCUUGAUACUGGCGAUCUCGAGUUCGGGAGAGGUGAGUGGAACUGCGAGUGUAGAGGUGAAAUUCGUAGAUAUUCGCAAGAACACCAGUGGCGAAGGCGGCUCACUGGCCCGAUACUGACGCUGAGGUGCGAAAGCGUGGGGAG